rnacentral:rRNA from 1 species
UACGGAAGGGGCAAGCGUUGUUCGGAAUCACUGGGCGUAAAGCGCACGCAGGCGGAUUGAUAAGUCAGGGGUGAAAUCCCGGGGCUCAACCUCGGAAUUGCCUUUGAUACUGUCUGUCUUGAGUUCGGGAGAGGUUGGCGGAAUUCCUAGUGUAGAGGUGAAAUGCGCAGAUAUCAGGAGGAACACCGGUGGCGAAGGCGGUGGUCUGGGCCGGCACUGACGCUGAGGAGCGAAAGCGUGGGGAGCAAACAGG